rnacentral:pre_miRNA from 11 species
UCCCCAAGAAUUUGGGUAGUCACAAAUCCCAGACAAGCCCCCAGCUGAAAGAUCCCCAGAGUGGGGAGACCCUCACUCAAGUCUCGGGAUAAGCCGAUGCCCCAAUAAUUCAAGAGAGACC